UUUCAACAAAUUCAAAAAUGUAUUUUUGUGAAGAUCAUUUCGAUGUAAGUAUGUAAAAAAAUGUAAUUUAGCGAAUACAUUAUUAUAACAAAACUGAUGAAUUUUGCUUUAUUAUUGUAAAUAUUGUUUGAGGUUAGAUCUUUGUUAAAGUUUUGUUAUUUAGUUCCGUAUUCGAAUAACUUAUUGUACUUAUUUAAUAAUAAGCACUUUUUUUGUUUCUUUUUAGUUAACAAAUGAUAUGCUCAGUUAUACUGAGUAUCUAUCAUAUUAUGGGAAAAGUAUCACAAGUGCGCUUGAAACCAGGAUGUACUCCAAGUAAAUUUGAAUGUCAAGAAGACAGAAGAAAGCGGACAUGCAGCAGCGCAGAACGACCGUACAUGUUAAAAAAACAAAGAAUGGAGAUAAUAGCAACUAGUCUUAAAGAUAAUACAAAUACUAUCAAGUGUUUGGAAAAACCAGAAGAAAGUUGUUCGAAAAGUGUACAUCUCAAAGAUAUUCCCCAUACAAGCUCAGAUUUUCAAACAGACGAAUGAGUCAGAACCUUUAUGUGAACAGAAAGUAAAUAAAUCAGUUCAAGUAUUUCUAACACACAAGUUCAGAAGUAAAGCAAGUCAGACCAAAAUAAAAACUGUAAACCAGGCAUUGUCACCCUGGAAACCAUCAGUGACAUCGAGUUUCACGUUCCCAUUUAAAACUGAGAUUAUUAAAAAAUUAUGUCCUGUCUCCAACCUACGCAAAAUUACAAAAAAAUUAUUGAUUGAGGAAGAGCACUCAGAUAGUGAUGUUUCCCUUUAUAUACCAUGUGAAGCCACCUACAGUCGUUUACCAUCCAUACAUUCAUUGUAAGUUAAGUCAUCUUCUUCAGACAGUGAAUUGAUUGCUGAAGAAAGAAAACUAGAAGCUGAUUUGAUGUUAGUGAACACACUUGAAAAAAUUCAAAAGAAGCCUAGCUUGUAUCUUGGUAUUCCAAGUAAUUGUUAUUACUUGGUAUUCCAAGUAAUUGAUAUUUUAAAAGAUGAAUUAAAGAUUCCAAAACAUCA